rnacentral:rRNA from 1 species
UGGGGAAUUGUUCGCAAUGGGCGCAAGCCUGACGACGCAACGCCGCGUGGGGGAUGAAGGUCUUCGGAUUGUAAACCCCUGUUGGGUGGGACGAACACUUUCGUGGUGAAUAUCAAUGGAGGCUGACGGUACCACCUGCGGCAGCCCCGGCUAACUCUGUGCCAGCAGCCGCGGUAAUACGUAGGGUGCGAGCGUUAAUCGGAAUUACUGGGCGUAAAGGGUGCGCAGGCGGUUAUAUAAGACAGAUGUGAAAUCCCCGGGCCCAACCUGGGAACUGCGUUUGUGACUGUAUAACUAGAGUACGGUAGAGAGGGGUGGAAUUCCUGGUGUAGCAGUGAAAUGCGUAGAUAUCAGGAGGAACAUCGAUGGCGAAGGCAGCCCCUUGGACCUGUACUGACGCUCAUGCACGAAAGCGUGGGGAGCAAA